AGAGUUUGAUCCUGGCUCAGGACGAACGCUGGCGGCGCGCCUAACACAUGCAAGUCGAACGAGCGAGAGAGAGCUUGCUUUCUCGAGCGAGUGGCGAACGGGUGAGUAACGCGUGAGGAACCUGCCUCAAAGAGGGGGACAACAGUUGGAAACGACUGCUAAUACCGCAUAAGCCCACGGCUCGGCAUCGAGCAGAGGGAAAAGGAGCAAUCCGCUUUGAGAUGGCCUCGCGUCCGAUUAGCUAGUUGGUGAGGUAACGGCCCACCAAGGCGACGAUCGGUAGCCGGACUGAGAGGUUGAACGGCCACAUUGGGACUGAGACACGGCCCAGACUCCUACGGGAGGCAGCAGUGGGGAAUAUUGCACAAUGGGGGAAACCCUGAUGCAGCGACGCCGCGUGGAGGAAGAAGGUCUUCGGAUUGUAAACUCCUGUUGUUGAGGAAGAUAAUGACGGUACUCAACAAGGAAGUGACGGCUAACUACGUGCCAGCAGCCGCGGUAAAACGUAGGUCACAAGCGUUGUCCGGAAUUACUGGGUGUAAAGGGAGCGCAGGCGGGAAGACAAGUUGGAAGUGAAAUCCAUGGGCUCAACCCAUGAACUGCUUUCAAAACUGUUUUUCUUGAGUAGUGCAGAGGUAGGCGGAAUUCCCGGUGUAGCGGUGGAAUGCGUAGAUAUCGGGAGGAACACCAGUGGCGAAGGCGGCCUACUGGGCACCAACUGACGCUGAGGCUCGAAAGUGUGGGUAGCAAACAGGAUUAGAUACCCUGGUAGUCCACACCGUAAACGAUGAUUACUAGGUGUUGGAGGAUUGACCCCUUCAGUGCCGCAGUUAACACAAUAAGUAAUCCACCUGGGGAGUACGACCGCAAGGUUGAAACUCAAAGGAAUUGACGGGGGCCCGCACAAGCAGUGGAGUAUGUGGUUUAAUUCGACGCAACGCGAAGAACCUUACCAAGUCUUGACAUCCCUUGACGAUGCUGGAAACAGUAUUUCUCUUCGGAGCAAGGAGACAGGUGGUGCAUGGUUGUCGUCAGCUCGUGUCGUGAGAUGUUGGGUUAAGUCC
rnacentral:rRNA from 1 species